rnacentral:rRNA from 1 species
CUUGACGGGCAUAGAGCGUUGGAACCACCUGAUCCCUUCCCGAACUCAGAAGUGAAACGACGCAUCGCCGAUGGUAGUGU